ACGAGUUCAGCACAAAAAAAUGCGAUUUUGAUAAGUCACGGUUCACUGAGAGGCGGGAAGGUUAGAGUGUAAAUUAAGUACUAGGUAUCAGAAUUGAUAAUAUUAUGCACAUUAUUUUUCUGCGAAAAUGUGAAAAAGUACAUACACGAUUAAGAAUACGUUGUUUUCAACGUUUUUUACAUGCUACAUAAUUUUGACUAUUGAGUGUUCUGAUUUACAUAUACAUUUAUAUUUAAUUAAAUUUUAUUGACAAUUUUUAUCGUCAAAAUGAAAUGUUGUGUCUUUAAUUGUGCUGCUGAUAAAGAAAAAUCUACUUUUGGUGUGACAAAAAAUAAAAACUUACAAAUCAAUGGGAAAACAGUCUUCGUACUUUUCUUAAAAGCAGAUUUCGAGCGUGUGGUGCACAUUUUCACGAAACUGAUGUAAUUAAAACAAAGAUUUCAGGACAAGAAUUUUCAAAAUCUUCUAUUUGUAUAAAAAUAUUGAAACUACGACAAAGUGUUAUUCCUUUUCCAGCAAAUAAAAACUUAAUAUUGAGUGAACCAGAAUAUAAAUCAUAAACCAUAAGGACUUCAGCAUAAUACAUGACCAUUGCUAUAGUUCAGUUUCUCCAACAAAGAAAAAAAUUAAAGUCUUGACAUUUCCAAUUUUGACAAUAUAGCACCUGUAUUAUGUACCAAAACACUGUUUAAAAUGAACAAGUACCACUAAAAUGGUUUAUUGAUAUAGAUGUAUUUGAAAAUCAAAGUAUUACUAUUAUAAAAGCAUUUCGUUUCAUAAUCUAAGCUCUUUUUCAACAAAUUAUAUGAAGUUUAUUGAAAAACAACUUGUAAUAAUUGAAGAUUCAUCUGACAUUGGUUAUUGGUAUAUCUUCUAAUAAUUUACUUAACUCUUUACAAUAUCUGGAAAAUAUUAUCAGUAAAUUUGAUCAAAAAUUUGUACUGGAGCAAUAUCCUCCAAUGAGUUAUUGAAUAUAAGUUAAGUGUCUGGAAACAAACAGUAUGUAGAUAGCUGUGGCGAAUGGUAUCAUAUUAACUGUUUAACUUCUAACAAAAAAAUAAAAGCAACAUAUAUUGUUUCCACAAGAAGUGAAUGCUGCUACAAAUAAUUUAAUAAGACAAUAUAUGGGAUACGAUACGACUAAUCAAGGUCUACAAUAUAAAUAUCUUAUUGGCGAACAGACAAUAAGCAAUAUGGUCGAAAAUAAAUUACAUCAACUUUGGGGAUGGUUUACAACUAUUGGUACUUUUGUUUCGGGACUGAUGGGGAUAUUAUUUGUUAUAAAAUUAAUAUUAACACUAUUGUAUACGGUGAUUACUAUUUAUUUUUAUACAAAACCUUUGGGUGGAGUGCAAAACUGAUGGCAGAAAUUUUUUCUAGUAUUACUCAUUGUUUAAUGUUAAAAGACACACAAAGAAAAUCAAAAUUUUGAUCAAGGCUCAAAAACAUUUUCGUUGUACAAUUAAAAAAUGGUAGAAAAGUGUAGACAAGCUUGAAUCAAGAUUUGGUUAAACACUUUAAAACCAUACAGCUAUAAUGCAAUAUAUUAAUAGUAGUAAUAAGUAAUACCUACUUGCUAUAUAUUAAAUAAAUGUAAGUGUUUAAAAACUAUUCAAUAGGUAGGUAGUUAUUUUUUCACUGUUUUUUUUUUCUUAAAAUUAUGAUUUAAUUCAUUUUUUAAAAUAUUAUCAUUGUAUUAUUUAUGAAUUUAAGGUGGAAACAUAAUUUGAAUACAUUGUGAAUAAUUUGUGUGAAAUACUACAAUAAUAAAUUAGCUAUGUAUCCUAUACUUAUAUUAUAUAUAAUAUAUUUUUUUGUACCUUCAAUUGUAUGUUAUGUUAAAAAAUAAUUACAUAAGUAUUUAGUAUAGAUUGUUUUUUGCAUCCUACAAUUUACAAUAUUAUGAAUAAUUAUUCCCUAUAUCAUCAUUUAUAAAUAUAUGUAUACAACAAUCAACUAAAAUAUGUAUUUAAUUUUAAUGAAUUUGUUAUUUACUUAGUAUUAAAAGUAUUAUUUUAAAUUUCUAAAUUUAAUUUAAUUAUUUAAUGAUAAAAAAUUAUAAUUUCAUAUUAAAUGUACAUGGAAAAUGUAAAAAAAAACACCUUUUUUUGUUUUUUGUAAGAGGGCCCUUGUAAAUUACUGUACUGGGGGCCCAAACAUAAGCCAGACCGACACUGGCUAGGACUUAGGAAAGAGUGCGCACAUUUUAGUGGGUAAAAAUGUAUGUAAUUUUAUUGUUAUUUAUUCACACUGAAUCAUUAUUGAUCCCAAAUUUGAAAAAAGGUUAUUGAAAUCAAAUACAUUAGAACCUAAAAUAAUUUAAGAUGCGUUGAAUAAAAAAAUUAAUAAGUAAUAUUUGUUUUUUAAUAUUUUGUAUAAUUAAAUAUUAGAUUAUAAAAUGAUAAUAUAAUAUAUUUUUAAGUAUGUUUGAGUAGGUUCAGGUUAUUGUACUCAAUAUUCUAUUUUUCUUAGAAUUACCAAAAAAUAUGUAAGUGGUAGCAUGUUCAGGUUAUAAAGUAUAACGUAAAAUGUACUCAAUACAUUUAACUACUACAAAAUUAAUAUUUAGAUGUUAAGGUAUUUGUAAAAUAUGAUCAUUGUUGUGCAUGUAUAAUGUAUAUACUAUAUAUAUAUAUAUUAUAUAUGUUUGUAAUUAUUUGUAAUUUAUUUGUUAAUUAUAAACCAAAAUAUUACAAAAAGUUUUGAACAUAUCUUUGUAGAA